rnacentral:tRNA from 1 species
UCGUAGCUCAAUUGGAUAGAGCAUCAGACUUCGGAUCUGAGGGUUAGGGGUUCGACUCCCUUCG